rnacentral:rRNA from 1 species
UAGGGAAUCUUCCACAAUGGACGCAAGUCUGAUGGAGCAACGCCGCGUGAGUGAAGAAGGCUUUCGGGUCGUAAAACUCUGUUAUUGAAGAAGAACGUGCGUGACAGUAACUGGUCAUGCAGUGACGGUAUUCAAUCAGAAAGUCACGGCUAACUACGUGCCAGCAGCCGCGGUAAUACGUAGGUGGCAAGCGUUGUCCGGAUUUAUUGGGCGUAAAGCGAGUGCAGGCGGUCUUUUAAGUCUGAUGUGAAAGCCUUCGGCUUAACCGAAGAAGGGCAUCGGAAACUGGGAGACUUGAGUGCAGAAGAGGAGAGUGGAACUCCAUGUGUAGCGGUGAAAUGCGUAGAUAUAUGGAAGAACACCAGUGGCGAAGGCGGCUCUCUGGUCUGUAACUGACGCUGAGGCUCGAAAGCGUGGGUAGCAAACAGGAUUAGAUACCCUGGUAGUCCACGCCGUAAACGAUGAGUACUAAGUGUUGGAGGGUUUCCGCCCUUCAGUGCUGCAGCUAACGCAUUAAGUAUUCCGCCUGGGGAGUACGACCGCAAGGUUGAAAC